rnacentral:rRNA from 1 species
GAUGAACGCUAGCUACAGGCUUAACACAUGCAAGUCGAGGGGUAACGAGAGGAAAGCUUGCUUUCCUUGUCGACGACCGGCGCACGGGUGAGUAACGCGUAUCCAACCUGCCCCCAACUAGGGAAUAACCUUGCGAAAGUAAGACUAAUACCCUAUAAUUUCCUCAGAUGACAUCUGACGAGGAAUAAAGAUUUAUCGGUUGUGGAUGGGGAUGCGUCUGAUUAGCUUGUUGGCGGGGUAACGGCCCACCAAGGCAACGAGCAGUAGGGGUUCUGAGAGGAAGGUCCCCCACAUUGGAACUGAGACACGGUCCAAACUCCUACGGGAGGCAGCAGUGAGGAAUAUUGGUCAAUGGGCGGAAGCCUGAACCGGCCAAGUAGCGUGCAGGAUGACGGCCCUAUGGGUUGUAAACUGCUUUUAUACAGGAAUAAAGUUAGCCACGUGUGGUUAUUUGUAGGUACUGUAUGAAUAAGGACCGGCUAAUUCCGUGCCAGCCGCCGCCGUAA